rnacentral:rRNA from 1 species
UACGAGUGCCCCGAGCGUUAUCCGGAAUCAUUGGGCGUAAAGGGUGUGUAGGUGGUUUUGUUAGUCUACUGCUAAAGCCCGCGGCUUAACCGCGGAUCGGCGGUGGAAACGGCAAGACUAGAGGAUGGCAGGGAUGUAUGGAACUCAUGGAGUAGGGGUGAAAUCCGUUGAUAUCAUGGGGAACACCAAAAGCGAAGGCAGUACAUUGGGCCACUCCUGACACUGAAACACGAAAGCGUGGGUAGCGAAUGGG